AUCUCUAUUCUCUUCCUAACUCUCUCUCUCUUUCUUUUUCUUUUCUAAAUUUUCGCCACACAAGGUGCAGCCUCGAGUUUCUUCACGAUCGGGAAUUCAAACAACAUCCGAUUGUCACGAAAUUUUAACCAAAGGUAGAAGACUCAUAAAGGAUCAUUCUUACCGAAGGAGAUCAAAUUUUAACGGUUAGAUUUUCCAGAAAUAAUUUCGGAAGUGGCUGUCGGUUUCUACAGUAGCAGCGUCGAUUUUCUAUACGAUCGGGGGUUCAAACGUAGUCCGAUCGUUCUGAAAUUUUAAAGGAAGGAUUUAGCUCGUGGUUUGAUAAUCAUUACCUCGAGAGGAUGAUAAGAGAUUUCUAUGACGAGACUUGGAAUCCUCCUUCCUAAAGAGAGUUUGAACACUUGGUAUCGGGAGGUUGGGAACUUCUUCGUCUACUUGCUCGAAAAUAAAAGUUUGGAAGUGAAAGAGAAUUUUGGGUAGGCGUCGAAGUAGAGUCAAGGAGCUUGUUUGAUGGCGGAGCUCCCGGGAUGGUGCAGGUGGUAAAGAAGGUCAAGUCUAGGAGGUUUUUCUAAAAUGGAAGCAGGAGUUACUAAUCGCUCGCGAUGUCGGACUUUCUUUUAUCAUUGUAAACAUUCAAAUACCACUUGUUAUUUUAUGCAUCUAGAUUAGUGCAUCAAAUAUGUAAUUAGAACGGGGUAUUACAGUAAGCCAAGCGGGAUGACACCUCGUCAGCGAGCCAAGCGGGAUGACACCUCGUCAGUAUGACGCGGUAAGCCAACGUGGCUGACACGUGACAGUCCACGUCAUGAGCGAAUCUAGAAGUUUCUAGAUUCAGACUCUCAGCUCUGUAACGGAUUGUAACGCCUCGUAACCGACGACCGUUACGGUCUAGCAUUGAUGACAGCCAUCAAGACUGUGUUGGCCCCUGCAGUGGACUGAGCCUAUAAAUAGGCUAGUCAUUCUAACAUUCUAGACACCAGAAACUAGAAUAGCACUCUGCAUCAUACACUCCCUCUUCCUCUCCUCUGCAUUGUUUUUUCUGUCGAAAGCUCUGCCCUCUCCUCCAUUCAGUUCGCCGGAGCUCUGUUGAUAGCGGUGCUGCUUCACCAGAGACGCAGCCGUUUUAUCUUUGGGGACGAAACGCCAAUUCGAAGAGCACUAUCGGGGCGUAUCUCGUCUUGCGGAAAGAGGCCUCAUCGACUCGGCUAUUUCCUGUUCUACGGUUUAUAGUUUUGAUUUUUGUUUAUAAUUUUCGUUUCAGUUCGUUUCUAUAUUCCUUCUUGGGUUGUAUUACGCCCGGUUAUCUCUUGUAAUUCCACAAAACCAACAGUCACAUACUAAUAAAAGAUGGUAUAUUGAUGAUA